AAGAAAAAGCUCAUUCUGAUGAGAGUUUUAAGUUCUUUGUGAUAGAGAAGGUAAAACCCAUUGGAGACAAUAAAAGACUUCUUCUACAAAGGGAGUCUUUCUGGACCUUUAAAUUAAACUCUGUAUUCCCCAAAGGACUGAAUGAUAGGAUUGAUUUCACCUGUUAUCUUUAGUGAAUUGAGUAUUUCAGUUCACCAUGCAAGCCAUAGGGCACUUGCAACUUGAGAAAAGACACAGAGCCCUGCAAGAGUAACGACGUAAAUUGACUACAUUGAAAAGCCUUGAACUGAAGCAGGACCAAGCAAGUAAUUAAGAUUAAAGAGACAGCAAUAAAUCCACAACAUACCGCAGAAGAUUCUGAGAAUCUCAGUAAGAAGAAAAAUACCAUACAUCAAAAGACUAUUUAAGACCUUACAUAAAUAACAACAACCUGAAGAAGGACUUCCCGAAACGAGGCAGUGUACCCGGGAUUACUUGUUGUUGCAUAGUUUUGUUCUACAUACACACAACAGCUGUGGACUGUUUUCCGUUGAGUUUGAUGUAUGCUUUACUUUAUAUGUUACUCAAUAAGGUUGUAUAAUUGUAUAUAUACCAUAAUUGUGGACUGUUUUCAGUUGGAGGUUUAUGUGUGUUUUGCUUUAUAUGUUUCACAAUAAGUUAGUACCCGGUUGGGACUGUAAAGAAAAUACUCUAUAUACUAGCAUACCACAAUACACACGCUAAAACCUA